rnacentral:rRNA from 1 species
GGACUACUGGGGUAUCUAAUCCCUUUUGCUCCCCACGCUUUCGUGCCUGAGUGUCAGCAAUUGUCCAGGUAGCCGCCUUCGCCUCUGGUAUUCCUCAUGAUAUCUACGCAUUUCACUGCUACACCAUGAAUUCUGCUACCCUCUCCAAUGCUCUAGCCAUGUAGUUUGAGGUGCAAUUCUGGAGUUAAGCUCCAGGCUUUCACGCCUCACACACUUGGCCACCUGCGCACCCUUUACGCCCAGUGAAUCCGAAUAACGCUUGCAGUCUCUGUAUUACCGCGGCUGCUGGCAC